rnacentral:rRNA from 1 species
AUGAGUCAUAUCCGUCGUAUGCUUGCGGUGCAUAUAAUGCACACAACUCUAGUUUCUAGUUGGGCUGGCUCAAUGGCUUUAUACGAAUUAGCAGUUUUUGAUCCCUCUGAUCGUGUUCUGGAUCCAAUGUGGAGACAAGGUAUGCUCGUAAUUCCCUUCGUGACUUGUUUAGGAAUAACAUAUUCGUGGGGUGGUUGGAGUAUUUCAGGAGGAAUUGUACCAAAUCCGGGUAUCUGGAGUUAUGAAGGUGUGGCAGGGGUGGCUUGCUUUGGCUUUGGGGCAUUUCAUGUAACAGGUUUGUAUGGUCCUGGGAUUUGGGUAUCCGAUCCUUAUGGACUAACUGGAAAAGUACAAGAUGUAAAUCCAGCAUGGGGUGCAGAAGGUUUUGACCCUUUUGUUCUAGGGGAAUAA